CAGCAGCCGCGGUAAGACGAACCGUGCGAACGUUAUUCGGAAUUACUGGGCUUAAAGCGCGUGUAGGCGGGUCGGCACGUCGGUCGCUGAAAUCCCCCGGCUCAACCGGGGAAGUGGCGCCGAUACGGCCGGCCUGGAGGGGGGUAGGGGGGCCUGGAACUUCCGGUGGAGCGGUGAAAUGCGUUGAGAUCGGAAGGAACGCCCGUGGCGAAAGCGAGGCCCUGGACCCUUUCUGACGCUGAGACGCGAAAGCCAGGGGAGCGAACGGGAUUAGAUACCCCGGUAGUCCCUGUCUCUUAUA
rnacentral:rRNA from 1 species